AGAUAGAGGGCCCUUAGGAAGGCGAUGCUGGAUCCUAUGGGUCUCAACAGAGGGCCUUACGUAGGGGGCCGCUGUAGCAACCACCCACAAAUGGGGGGCUCAACACAACUGAAAUGCGCUUCCUCACAGUCCUGGAGGCCCGAACUCCAAAACCAAGGCGCCAGCAGGGCCACGCUUCCUCCACGGAGCCUCGGGGAGCAGAUGGUCUUGAGAGGAGACUUGCUCCCACAACCCUUUCCCAGCUGCAGCUGCCUCUCCUCCAUCUCUGCCUCGGUGGCCACGCGGCUGAACCACCGCAUCCCGGGCAGGGAAGAAAAAAAUGCCGGCAACUAAACCGUGAGGUGCCUUCAAGAGUGAAAUGGAACCUAAGAGGAAGACGGAACCUAACAGAGAUGUCAGGAGGAGAAGAAACACACAUCUUAGAAUUGAUAAGCACGAUA
rnacentral:lncRNA from 1 species